GCAGUCGAGCGGUAGAGAGAAGCUUGCUUCUCUUGAGAGCGGCGGACGGGUGAGUAAUGCCUAGGAAUCUGCCUGGUAGUGGGGGAUAACGUUCGGAAACGGACGCUAAUACCGCAUACGUCCUACGGGAGAAAGCAGGGGACCUUCGGGCCUUGCGCUAUCAGAUGAGCCUAGGUCGGAUUAGCUAGUUGGUGGGGUAAUGGCUCACCAAGGCGACGAUCCGUAACUGGUCUGAGAGGAUGAUCAGUCACACUGGAACUGAGACACGGUCCAGACUCCUACGGGAGGCAGCAGUGGGGAAUAUUGGACAAUGGGCGAAAGCCUGAUCCAGCCAUGCCGCGUGUGUGAAGAAGGUCUUCGGAUUGUAAAGCACUUUAAGUUGGGAGGAAGGGCAGUAAAUUAAUACUUUGCUGUUUUGACGUUACCGACAGAAUAAGCACCGGCUAACUCUGUGCCAGCAGCCGCGGUAAUACAGAGGGUGCAAGCGUUAAUCGGAAUUACUGGGCGUAAAGCGCGCGUAGGUGGUUAGUUAAGUUGGAUGUGAAAUCCCCGGGCUCAACCUGGGAACUGCAUUCAAAACUGACUGACUAGAGUAUGGUAGA
rnacentral:rRNA from 1 species